UUCUAUAGCUUAUAGGCUUAUAGUUUUUACAUGUAGGUCUUAAUUCUCAAGUGAGACUCUAAUAGUUUCAUUGAGGAUAGAGUCGCCAAGACUUUUUUUCCAUCUCUCUCAGGACUUGGAAUAGGAUCUUAAAUAUGGUGCUCAUUUAGAGGGCCUUAGUCAAUUCAUAAGUGUUAGAAUACAUUAAUUUUUUUUGGAAAUUAAGGCAUCCGAAAUAGCACUUUGAAAAUGCCAGUAGAUGAUUUAGAUUAAGAAUUUGCAGUAUUUUUACAUAAGAAAAAUUGCUUGUUUUAUUAAGGUGGCACUAGCUAUUGUGGCCCAAUUUUCUUAUUUCCAAAGCUAAUAUUGCUGGGCAAUAAGACUAAACCAUGCAAUCCUGUCAGUGUUGCUCAGUGAUUGAGCGUCAACCCAUGAACCAGAAGAUCACACCGUUUGAUACCAGUCAGGGCACAUGCAAACCAUCCAAUGAACUCAUUUUAAAUUAUAAACUGCAUACCUUCCUCACAGGAUAUAAUUUCAAGAAUCCUUGAGUGACUAUUUUCUCCAUUAAAUUUCACCCAAGACUUUAAAAAAUGGAUCAUUACUAAAAUAUUUUUGAUGUCUCUGUAGUAUUGAAGGGCAAAAGUCCUUUAUUUCCAUAAACUCAGCGAAGUGAAAAGGUAUAAUUCUUACUCGCUAACUUAAAAGCAUUUUUUGGAACUUCUUAAAAAAUGAUCUAUUUUUUCUCUCAUCUCUUCCUUUAUUAAAAAACUACAUAUUUCAUUGAUAUAAAUCAAAGCAAGAACACUCAUUUCCAAAUGUUAAAAUCAUUGGUACUGAUAUUUUUAUCUUUAAAUUAUGUAUUUGGAAUACUUGAAAAAGUGAGUGGGUUCUGUGCUGGUUAUGCUAGUCAAAUGCUUGUGAACUACUUCAGAUUGUAUAGUUUGUGAGAUUCCUAAUCCUAUAGAACAAAAAGAUUUACCUUGUGCAGAUGAGGUAGAAAAUAAAAGUUGAAAUGGUCUUGUUUCCUUCAAAUAAUAUUUAAAUUGUCUUUCUCCCUAAAGGGUCAAAAAAAGGAAAUUUGAAUUUGAGUCAGAUCUCUCAACAACUGUUCUGAGGUUUGUUCAAUUAAAAUUGAAAGCCAAGUAAGUUCAUUCAACGUUACCAAAUCUUGAAACUAAGUACAAUUUAAGUUUGAAACUUAGGAUUCUUCCCUCUUUCCAGAAUAUGUAGCUUUAGAGUUCUGAUUUGUUGAAAAGCUGAUCAAGUACUAUCCAUACUAAUAAGCAGUUGAAAAGUUAUCCCCAAAAGGCAUUGGAUCUAUGCACAUCCUUCUAUACUCAUUACCAUGCUCAGUUAAUUGCUGAUUUUUGAUGGUUGCUGAAGUGAAUAGUCUACCUACAUUUCUGCUUGUUUUCCCUAUAUAUUCAGCUAAACCAGACAAAAAGAAAACAAGCUACACACAUCAGUGCAGGUCUAUACAAACAAAACAAUGAGCAGUGGUAUAUUUAAUCUUUCCAUAUUGCUACUAAGAAUUUUGGACCCAAUAUGAGUCUCUCCUUCUACCCAGAUUUUUGACUACAUUGCAUUACGCUAAGCAUAUAAGUCAAAGAAUGUGUUAGUAUUUAAUAGCUGCACUGUGACCAUUAAAUCACUUCUAAAAUAAUGAUUUAUUACUGCUUGAUAAUUUUGUUCUGUGUAACCACCUCUGUGAAUUAGAUUCAAUCUUUGACAGCACUGAAAGUUAGGCUGAGGCUGGAUACAAAAUGAAGGUCAAAAAUUGUCCAUUAAAUUCUACCUGAAUCUUCCACAUGCUGUAUACUAAAGGUUUGUAUACUUCUUGUAUUUGGGUCAUAUCAAUAUCCAAGUCACUAUUAUAAAUAUUCCUUUAUUCUCCAAUAUUCUCCAAGAAAAGUUAUGUGCACAUAUAUGCGUGUUUAUGUCAAUGCAAUUUCUCCCAAAAUAUUUUCCUCCUGUACCACGUUUUAAGAAAGUCACAAUUUAACUUUGUAUAGAGCCUUUUCUUAGGGAAAAUUUCCUCUUCAUUCUCAUCUUUAAAUCUGUAUUUUGUACAGAUUUGUUAUAGAAAUAAUUUCUGAUGGUAGAUGUUUAGCAAUUUCUGCAAGAUCUAUUAAUGUUUUACUGUUUUCACAAAUAUUGGAAUUUAUAAAUUAGCAUAAGAAAAUCUUGGAUAAAAAUUUAUUGUAACAAUUUCUAUUUCCUCUACUUAGCAGUCACCAUUUAGUAUUGCCUCUGUGGGUAAAAAAUUAUCUUAUUAGAAAGAAGUAAAUUUAUUUCAAAGUUAUAUUUUAUUUAGAUCUAUGAAUAUAAUUAUGACAUACAAAAUGUGCUGAGCACAUUAGUGAUUCCAUAGCUGAUUCCAUAUGAAAUCAUAUAUGGUUCCAGAGUUGAUUAUCCAUGGUUAGUGAAUGCUCAGAGUUGAUGUGUCAACUCUUUGCUCACUAAACAUUUCGAGAAUUUUCUCCUAACAUUGAUAAACUUGAGUUUUUAAAGCAAGGUAUUGAAUGUUGAAUGAUUUCAGUGCAUUUGCAAAGCAUUUAUACAUCAUUAUUGUGUGCGUGUGUGUGUUUUACUAAAAGUAGCAGAAUAAAAAAUGAGACCCAAUCCAUAUUUAUGAUAAUAAUAUAAUUGCCUAGUUUCAGAGGUCAUAUAAAAAUAAUGUUUGUGAUGCUUUCAUUAAUAAAAUUCUAAAAGAAAUCAACAUAGAAACAAUAUUUCAAUACUACAGUAGCUCCAUUUUGCCUCCACAUUAGAUUUUAUAUCAGGGACUUAGAAGCAAUCCGUUAUCAUUAGCAUGUGCAAUUAAAAAUUAGAUGGAUCUGGCUGGUUUUUUUUCUACAAAAGCAGGGAAAUAUUUUAGUAAGACCCUUGGCUUUUAUGUAAAUGGUUAUACGUACAGAUACAUUUUCAUCGUUCAAAUCCUCAUUUGUAAAGUUACUGGGUGAAUAAUAAACACAAACGAGCAAAACAAUAUAAAACAAAACAAAAGCUGUGGAUGGUUUAUCAAGUCUAAAUCCAAAAGCCUACUGGACUCCUGAAACCUGGCCUUCCUGGUCCUCUUUGCAUAGGAAAAUCAAAAUACCAGGAUUCAUAAAAUUCUCCCCAAGGUUGACCCUUCCUUCGGGAUGAGUGUGGCCCAACAUUUCCAUAAUCAGAGUAGGUACCUCCAGAGGUUAUUCCCCAAAGCCCCUGAGUGUCUCUUUUGAUUUAGCUUUUUGCCAGAACGCACUGUUGUGAUAUAAAAAAGCGAUAAAGUAGUAUCUGGAAAGUUAAAAUGUUAUAAAAAAUUAAAUUACAUUUUAUUCCUCAGGCUUAAAACACAAAUUGAGAAUUAUUCAAAUUAAACUUACUUCCCAUACCUCAAAACUGAAAUAUGAUAGCACAGGGCAGUUACGAACAGAGGCAAAUAUUCAAAGUUUUGCACAUAGGUAGAAUCAGACAGAAAGUGUCAUAUAGCUUUUGAGGACACUGUAAUAUGAUAAAUUUGAAGAGCAAACAAAAUAACACCCCCUUGAAAUUAUUCUUCGUUGUGGAUUUCAAUUAAUACAUAAAUGUGGUCAUUUUUGGCUAAUAGGACCCUAUGCUAUGAAUUGUUAUUUCAAGAUCAAUAGCAACAACCAUAAAUAUUAUCUAAACAAUUUGGGUGCAAAACCCCAAAGAAAUUCUAAGAAAAUUAGCUGAUUUGGAAAAAUAUUAAAAUAACUAAACCUGUUUAUUAUAUGUAUAGUUAGUAGUUGCUUCACUGUUGAAGGUUUAUGCAAUUCUCCCAUAAUACAUUUUAUUCAAAACGUAUGCAACUAUACAUUUAUAUGCCAAUGGAAUUAGAAAAUUAGAUGGUGUCUGCAAGCCUUUAUGUAACAAAAGUUUAUCGUGGGCAAAGCAUUUUUGCAGAUACUUAUGGAUCCUCACACAAGCCUGUGAGGUAGGGAGGAAAGCCAUCUUUACAGUUCGAACCCUAAAGCUCAGAAACUUUGGGGACAUCUCCAAGAAUAAUACGUGUGAAUCUCCUUUGUUGUUGUUUGCUCCUAGUCUUACAUAUUUUCCUGCAGAUCCCAAGCAUAUAAGGGCUAAUCAGUCAGUGAGAUGGGACAAAUCUGAACCUAUGUAGGGAAUAAAAGUCAAUAUUAAGUCUAUAAGGUAUUGGGGAUAAUCUUUUCGGACUACAUUCUUAUCUGGCGAUGUAUAUAUUUUCGAUGACUGGCCAUGCCAUAAGUAAGCCAACUGUACUGAAGUCUAAACAAAUUACAAAAUUUCUGACAACUAAUUUUAGUUACAGGAAUGAUCAAAUCUUCUGAUUUAAACAUACUAAAACCAAUGGGGUCCAGGGGGAGGGAGAAAUAGAGUUCCCCAAAGGUUUGAACAGGGUGAGGUUUAUAGCUACUUUUUAGAUCAAAUCUUUCCCUGAUAUUUCAGAUUAUCUGAGUAUACCAUAAACCAUUCAUUUUAUCAAUUUAAUAAAAAGUGUUUUUUUUUUCUUUUAAAAUAAAAGGGAGCCUGUGGGACAGAAACAACCAUCUCUGUGCUUCAGAGCGGUGCACAGUCAGUGCAUAGAAAUUGCAUACAUUAUAGUGCAAGCAGCAAAUCCCCAUGCUCCAUCCAUUCCGUAUGGAGAAAAGAAGUGGGGAGGGCAAAGAAAAAUGGCCCAUACAAGUCUGUGACAGAGUGGCCUAAUAGACUGGGUAUCUCUCACGUCACUUAAACAUAAGACGAAGCUAAUGAGAUCUGUCACAAUAACAGAGCAUGGGUCUCAAAAGUCCACCCAGAAAAGUGGACAAGGAGGUCUUGAUUACCUUCUCAAGUUUUAUUCUGCAGUGAACCACCCCUAGAAAUCAGUCAUAAGUGAGUUUGAACCUUUCUACUUCGUUUUGUUUUGGGGAAAAAAAAUCACAAGGUAUUGAAACGAAUAUCAUUGUUUGGUUGAAUCCAGGUAUUCUUAAGUAAACAGUACCACAGACUUUAUUGAGCAAUUGAAAAUAUACACAAGGUACAAUAGCUUUUUCUCUGUUUGUGUUGUUUUGUUUAAUUUGACUUUCUUCUGAUUAAAUAACCCAGUUUCGAUCAUGAAAAGGGCACUUGUUUCUACAGUGGCUGUGUACAGCUUGCUCAGUUCCAAGUACUGUUCCCACACUUCUUCUUUGUCAUGGCUGAGGUUAUGUCUUCACUUGCUCAGGCAGAAAAUUCUAGAAUGUUGAAAGAAUGGCCCCCCUAAGUUGUUCUUUCAGAUUCCAUUUCUCCA